rnacentral:rRNA from 1 species
UACAGAGGGUGCAAGCGUUGUUCGGAAUUACUGGGCGUAAAGCGCACGCAGGCGGUCUGUCAAGUCGGAUGUGAAAUCCCCGGGCUCAACCUGGGAACUGCAUUCGAAACUGGCAGGCUAGAGUCUUGUAGAGGGGGGUAGAAUUCCAGGUGUAGCGGUGAAAUGCGUAGAGAUCUGGAGGAAUACCGGUGGCGAAGGCGGCCCCCUGGACAAAGACUGACGCUCAGGUGCGAAAGCGUGGGGAGCAAACAGG